rnacentral:piRNA from 1 species
UACAGUUCGUGACGAGUGCCACAAGCCA